rnacentral:rRNA from 1 species
UGGGGAAUAUUGGACAAUGGGCGAAAGCCUGAUCCAGCCAUGCCGCGUGUGUGAAGAAGGUCUUCGGAUUGUAAAGCACUUUAAGUUGGGAGGUAGGGCAGUAAGCGAAUACCUUGCUGUUUUGACGUUACCGACAGAAUAAGCACCGGCUAACUCUGUGCCAGCAGCCGCGGUAAUACAGAGGGUGCAAGCGUUAAUCGGAAUUACUGGGCGUAAAGCGCGCGUAGGUGGUUCGUUAAGUUGAAUGUGAAAGCCCCGGGCUCAACCUGGGAACUGCAUCCAAAACUGGCGGGCUAGAGUAGGGCAGAGGGUGGUGGAAUUUCCUGUGUAGCGGUGAAAUGCGUAGAUAUAGGAAGGAACACCAGUGGCGAAGGCGACCACCUGGGCUCAUACUGACACUGAGGUGCGAAAGCGUGGGGAGCAAACAGG